rnacentral:rRNA from 1 species
AGAGUUUGAUCAUGGCUCAGAAUAAACGCUGGCGGCGUGCUUAACACAUGCAAGUCGAGCGCGAAAGGCCUUCGGGCUGAGUAAAGCGGCGAACGGGUGAGUAACGCGUGAGAAUCUACCUUUUAGUGGAGAAUACCCUCGAGAAAUCGAGGUUAAUACUGCAUACGUCUAGAAAUAGAGAAAGAUGGCCUCUUUGCUGUCGCUGAAAGAUGAGCUUGCGUACUAUUAGCUAGUUGGUAGGGUAAUGGCCUACCAAGGCAAUGAUGGUUAGCCGGCCUGAGAGGGUGUACGGCCACACUGGAACUUAGACACGGUCCAGACUCCUACGGGAGGCAGCAGUGAGGAAUAUUGCGCAAUGGGCGAAAGCCUGACGCAGCGACGCCGCGUGGAGGAUGAAGGUCUUAGGAUUGUAAACUUCUGUUAAGUGGGAAGAAAAGCAGAGUUAUAAUACAGCUCUGUCAUGACGGUACCAUUAGAGAAAGCACCGGCUAAACUCGUGCCAGCAGCCGCGGUAAUACGAGUGGUGCAAGCGUUAUUCGGAAUGAUUGGGCGUAAAGGGUGCGCAGGCGGCAUGUUAAGUCAGCUGUUAAAUACUUCAGCCUAACUGAAGAUCGGCGGCAGAUACUGGCGUGCUAGAGGGUGGAAGAGAGAAGUGGAAUUCUUGGAGUAGCGGUAAAAUGCGUAGAUCUCAAGAGGAACACCGAUGGCGAAGGCAGCUUCUUGGUCCACAUCUGACGCUAAGGCACGAAAGCGUGGGGAGCAAACAGGAUUAGAUACCCUAGUAGUCC